rnacentral:rRNA from 1 species
GACGAACGCUGGCGGCGUGCCUAAUACAUGCAAGUAGAACGCACAGUUUAUACCGUAGCUUGCUACACCAUAGACUGUGAGUUGCGAACGGGUGAGUAACGCGUAGGUAACCUGCCUGGCAGCGGGGGAUAACUAUUGGAAACGAUAGCUAAUACCGCAUAAUAUUAAUUAUUGCAUGAUAAUUAAUUGAAAGGUGCAAUUGCACCACUACCAGAUGGACCUGCGUUGUAUUAGCUAGUAGGUGAGGUAACGGCUCACCUAGGCGACGAUACAUAGCCGACCUGAGAGGGUGAUCGGCCACACUGAGACUGAGAAACGGCCCAGACUCCUACGGGAGGAAGCAGUAGGGAAUCUUCGGCAAUGGACGAAAGUCUGACCGAGCAACGCCGCGUGAGUGAAGAAGGAUUUCGGAUCGUAAAGCUCUGUUGUAAGAGAAGAACGGGUGUGAGAGUGGAAAGUUCACACUGUGACGGUAUCUUACCAGAAAGGGACGGCUAACUACGUG